rnacentral:rRNA from 1 species
GACGAACGCUGGCGGCGUGCUUAACACAUGCAAGUCGAACGGAAAGGCCCUGCUUUUGUGGGGUGCUCGAGUGGCGAACGGGUGAGUAACACGUGAGUAACCUGCCCUUGACUUUGGGAUAACUUCAGGAAACUGGGGCUAAUACCGGAUAGGAGCUCCUGCUGCAUGGUGGGGGUUGGAAAGUUUCGGCGGUUGGGGAUGGACUCGCGGCUUAUCAGCUUGUUGGUGGGGUAGUGGCUUACCAAGGCUUUGACGGGUAGCCGGCCUGAGAGGGUGACCGGCCACAUUGGGACUGAGAUGCGGCCCAGACUCCUACGGGAGGCAGCAGUGGGGAAUAUUGCACAAUGGGCGGAAGCCUGAUGCAGCAACGCCGCGUGCGGGAUGACGGCCUUCGGGUUGUAAACCGCUUUCGCCUGUGACGAAGCGUGAGUGACGGUAAUGGGUAAAGAAGCACCGGCUAACUACGU